UAUAUACGUAUAUAAAAAGGGGUUACUUAGGAACUAACUUAGAUCUCGUUAAUAUUUAUUGUAGACUCCGAUUUCGUAGACGAGGAUUAUCAAGAGCGCUAACCUGUUCGUGAACUUAACUUUUGGGCACGCGUCACGAGGUGGGUGAUCGAUCGGGGGAACAAAAGGGAAAUCAUUUAGAGUUGUCAUCCACUUAGCAUUUGAUUAGCUUCCGCUGGAACUCUGAAACUUUUUAAUAAAUUAGUAAUGUUAAUGAACAAUUUUUUAGUUGUAAUGAUUAAUGAAAGUGAGAUGGUGUGUUGUAACUUAGCCUUGCAUUUAUUUCCAAGGAGAUAAUUGCGGCGGUAGCACCACCCCGUCGAGUCGGACCCUCGUGGGUUCGUUUUCCCCCGAAAA